CAGUAGCCGCGGUAAUACGUAGGGUGCAAGCGUUAAUCGGAAUUACUGGGCGUAAAGCGUGCGCAGGUGGUUUCGUAAGACAGAUGUGGAAUCCCCGGGCUUAACCUGGGAACUGCAUUUGUGACUGCGAGGCUAGAGUGUGUCAGAGGGGGGUGGAAUUCCACGUGUAGCAGUGAAAUGCGUAGAUAUGUGGAGGAACACCGAUGGCGAAGGCAGCCCCCUGGGAUAACACUGACGCUCAUGCACGAAAGCGUGGGGAGCAAACAGGAUUAGAUACCCCCGUAGUCCCUGUCUCUUAUAC
rnacentral:rRNA from 1 species